UGGGGAAUAUUGCGCAAUGGGGGAAACCCUGACGCAGCAACGCCGCGUGAGUGAAGAAGGCUUUCGAGUCGUAAAACUCUGUCUUUGGGGACGAAUAAUGACGGUACCCAAGGAGGAAGCCCCGGCUAACUACGUGCCAGCAGCCGCGGUAAUACGUAGGGGGCAAGCGUUGUCCGGAAUCACUGGGCGUAAAGGGCGCGUAGGCGGUAUGUUAAGUCAGGUGUGAAAGUUUUCGGCUCAACCGGAAAAGUGCACUUGAAACUAAUUUACUUGAGUACUGGAGAGGUAAGCGGAAUUCCUAGUGUAGCGGUGAAAUGCGUAGAUAUUAGGAAGAACACCGGUGGCGAAGGCGGCUUACUGGACAGAGACUGACGCUGAGGCGCGAAAGCGUGGGGAGCGAACAGG
rnacentral:rRNA from 2 species